AUAAAUCAAAGUACGGAAAUACUAAUACAAUUUUUAAAACGUAUUUGUAGCAAAUAUAGCUUAACAUGAAAAACUUGAGACUCUGUCUAACUAUUACUCUAGUCUAUGAAGCCUCUAAUAAAGUACUAAAAACACCGACUGACUGUAAAUACUGAAAGACUGUAAAGUAGUGAUAAUGCCCCGGAAGAACUGGAGUUGGUACGAGAAUCCUAGCGCUCUGAAUCAUCAACCUGUAAAUCAUUACCAGCAUCGUGAGAUGCAGGCCCUGGGCAAAAGGGACGUCAGUACAUUUGAAUUGCACUGGUAUGUAAAGCAACUGAAAGAAAGAAUUAAAAAUGCUGAAACUGAAACUAAGAUGAUAAUUGAGAAUUGAUAAUUGAUAACUGAAAUGAUAACUAUUGAAACUGAAACUUAAAUGAUAACUAAUAACUGAACCGAUAACUGGUAACUAAACUGAUAACUGGCAACUAAAAUGAUAACUGAUAACUGAAAUGAUAAAGGAAGUAAGGAUAUGAAUACUCCCUCUUCUGAAUGAUGAACAACCUGGUUAUCUGAAUAAGCUAUGGCCUCGGGCCCAAUAUAUAUGUGCACAAGCUACGGCCUCAGGCCCAAGUAUAUGUAAAGCAUAUAAACUACGGCCUUAGGCCCAAAUACAGGUGUUCAACAUUCAGGGAUUUAAAAUCAAGAACUGAGAAUCAUACUGCAGUACAUGAUAGUAAAGUACUGAAUCACAUUAAGUUACAUGAUACUGGAAUACUGAAUCACAUUGAGUUACAUAAUACUGGAAUACUGGAUCACACUGGGUUGCAUAAUAUUGGAAUACUGAAUAGGACUAGAUUGAGACAUGUAUUCUUGAACUGAUUAUGAACACUGAAAUUUCAACUGUGUAUGGCAUACUGCGUAAUCUAUACUAAGACUCGGGGGCAUCAAACCCAAGUCUAUAUUGAAUACGAACUGAGCUCACAACAUUCAAAAUGAAAGUCAUGAACGAGUUAUGAAGCUAGAGAAUAGGAGUUCUACAAUUAUUCAAGGAACUAGGCUAAACUCUAUUUUUUUAGGCAAUUAGUAACGUCGUAAAAGAAACGUAGUAUAGGGAGAAUCAUUAACAUUUCCAAACAUAGAGAGUUAGCCUCACAUACCUUAACUUCCUGCUAUUGAUCAUAAUACAACAUUCGCCAGCCUUUCAACUUUAAUCUAUAUCAAUACAAGUCAAAGAGAUUCCAAAUUAGCAACAAUAGUCAUGUUUUGAUCACUUAGGCAUUU
rnacentral:lncRNA from 1 species